UGCUAGAUGGAGCCCAGCAAGGAGCUGCUGAGCUGUUGCCUAUUUUGUUUGAGAGGGCGAUGCCGAAGCCGUCGCUCACUCCAAAUUGAGUAUUUAACCAGCAGGCCGUCGUGGAGCAUAUCAUCUUCUUGGUAAGUAUGUAUUUUAAACAGUGUUUAUUUAUGUGCCUUUGCUUGCAGGACAGCGCAUCAUCGUCGUGGUUUGGAAACAUCUAGUGGCGUCUCUCACCCUCCACAACUUGUCCAGGAAUUGCAUGUCAGCUGACUUGGUGGCCGCAGCAACGUAUUGGGUGGCCCGCAAACAGGCCGGUUGCAGUUCAGGAUGCUAGAUGGAGCCCACAAGGAGCUGCUGAGCUGUUGCAUAUUUUGUUUGAGUGGGCGAUGCCGAAGCCGUCGCUCACUCCAAAUUGAGUAUUUAACCAGCAGGCCGUCGUGGAGCAUAUCAUCUUCUUGGACAGCGCAUCAUCGUCGUGGUUUGGAAACAUCUAGUGGCGUCUCUCACACGCCAUGCAGUUUGACCAGGAAUUGUUUGAAUGGGCGAUACCGAAGCAAUCGCUCACUUCAAAUU